GAUUAUGGCUCAGGAUGAACGCUGGCGGCGUGCUUAACACAUGCAAGUCGAACGGAGUUUUAACGGAAGUUUCGGAUGGAAGUUAGAACUUAGUGGCGGACGGGUGAGUAACGCGUGGGUAACCUGCCUCAUACAGGGGGAUAACAGUUAGAAAUGACUGCUAACACCGCAUAAUAUAGCGAAACCGCAUGAUUUUUGCUAUCAAAUAUUUAUAGGUAUGAGAUGGGCCCGCGUCUGAUUAGCUAGUUGGUGGGGUAAAAGCCUACCAAGGCGACGAUCAGUAGCCGGCUUGAGAGAGUGACCGGCCACAUUGGGACUGAGACACGGCCCAAACUCCUACGGGAGGCAGCAGUGGGGAAUAUUGGACAAUGGGGGAAACCCUGAUCCAGCGAACCGCCGCGUGAGUGAAGAAGUAUUUCGGUAUGUAAAGCUCUAUCAGCAGGGAAGAUAAUGACAGUACCUGACUAAGAAGCCCCGGCUAACUACGUGCCAGCCGCAGC
rnacentral:rRNA from 1 species